GCGGUCGUGGUGGAAUGGCAGACACACCAUCUUGAGGGGGUGGCGGGGCAACCCGUGCGAGUUCGACUCUCGCCGACCGCA
rnacentral:tRNA from 2 species